rnacentral:tRNA from 1 species
AGCUGGGUGGCAGAGUGGUCUAAUGCUAGACUAGAAAUCUAGUUCCUUCGAGAGCAUGUGUGUGAAUCACAUCCCAGUCG